AACGUAGGAGACAAACGUUAUCCGGAGUUACUGGGCGUAAAGGGCGCGUAGGCGGCGUGUCAAGUCAGGCGUGAAAGCCCCGGGCUCAACCUGGGAACCGCGCUUGAGACUGGCAUGCUCGAGUUCGGGAGAGGAUGGUGGAAUUCCCAGUGUAGAGGUGAAAUUCGUAGAUAUUGGGAAGAACACCGAUGGCGAAGGCAGCCAUCUGGACCGACACUGACGCUGAGGCGCGAAAGCGUGGGGAGCAAACAGG
rnacentral:rRNA from 1 species